rnacentral:rRNA from 1 species
CAGUAGCCGCGGUAAUACGAAGGGGGCAAGCGUUGUUCGGAAUUAUUGGGCGUAAAGGGCUCGCAGGCGGUUUCUUAAGUCUGAUGUGAAAGCCCCCGGCUCAACCGGGGAGGGUCAUUGGAAACUGGGAAACUUGAGUGCAGAAGAGGAGAGUGGAAUUCCACGUGUAGCGGUGAAAUGCGUAGAGAUGUGGAGGAACACCAGUGGCGAAGGCGACUCUCUGGUCUGUAACUGACGCUGAGGAGCGAAAGCGUGGGGAGCGAACAGGAUUAGAUACCCCGGUAGUCCCUGUCUCUUAUAC